GGUUGUUUUUCCAAUAAUAUUUGAUGCUAAGGAACCUUUAAACCAAUUAGAAUAUCUUUAGAGUCCCUUUUAAAGUGAUAAGUAUAUUUGCAAAUCUGGAGCACAUAUAUCACGAUUUUCUAUCGUUAUUUGCAUGGAUAUAACACAUAUAUUUUGCUCUUAACAUAGCCAUACAUUGUGAAUGUAAUUGAUAAUGUAAAUGAUGUUUUUGGAGGUAAACAAGAAAGAUGCUAAACCUCAAAGCAAAAACAACCGUGUUUCGAUUUGUGAACUUGACAAAUAUUAUACGCAAAGAUAUAUUGUUUUUUUCUUAACAGCAAAUUUUAUUUAUAAGCUAACCCAACACAAGAAGUGAAGAGGCUAUAGGAAACAUACGAGAUGAAAGAUACAUAAAGACAAUUAAACCAAGGCUAAAAAGCCACAACAUAAAACCACCAAAACAACCCUUAAUACAAUAGAAAACAAUUACUUAGUAGAUAUUGAUAUGUCUUGUUGCAUUGAUGUUUCAGAAAUGUGUGGGUGGAGGGCAAUUUUUGUAUCGGUACUUCCCGAGUCGCUCCGAGCAGGGAUCGAAUGGGGUGGUCGGUUUUGGGGGCUUUAUUUUUCCGAUAAUUCUUCCAAUUCCGGGGGUCAAGGUAAAAGCAUCAGCAGAAUGAUGAUGAGCAAGCAUAAGAGCAGCAAGGAAUACCACUAGCAAGGAUAAGAAAAAGGAAUUAGCCACUUUAAGAAGUGAUAUUAUUAUUAGUGUUGGUGCAUAAUACAUAGAGAGUUAACUGGUUUUAUACUAGUUAGAGACUCAAUGUGAGUUUAUGGUCAAUCUAAGUCAUUUACUAAAUUCAAGAAUGUUACACUCAUAGGUACCAUGUAUUUGCUACUUGUUGAUGAUCAGUACCUAUCCUUUCAUUUUCCACACAACAAGACCAUUUAGUAUUAUUGGCUCUAUCUCUCCACUUGUUUGCACACCAAUACGAGGUUUUUUUUUAAAGGAGAAUCAACCAUUUGGAUAAUACAAUAUCCUUAUUUUAUUUAUUUGAAUUUGAAUGGCAACCACCAAGGCCACAUAUAGAAAGAAUAAUUUCCUUAAAAAAAAAGAAUAAUUUCCGACCAAUCGUACAUGAUGUCAUCGACACAACAAAAGAUAGGUUUCAUAAUAUGGCGCCAUAAUAUCCUUAUCCUUGUAAAUAUGAUUAAAAAAAACCUUGUUAAUUAAGUUGUAGGAUUUUUUUAAGUUGGAAAAUAUUAACGAGUAUCUUCAGAACAUUCUUUAAACAUUCAAAGGGGUAAGAUUUUAUGAAAGUUGAGGAUUUAUUUCAUUAGAAAUUGAAGUCUUUACAUUUCUUUUAAAGAAUAGAUUUUUCAUUAUGAUGUUUAAAGAGUGUUCCGGAGACACUUGUUAACAAAACUCUUUAAAGUUUUAGGAUGUAAGAAUUUCCCUAAAACACAUGUUAAAGAUAUGGAUGUCAAUGGGUACGGGUAGCAUGAUAUCCGUCUCUAUACCGUUGGAUAUGGUACUUGUACCUAUACUCAUACUCUUGUAGGUAUCUCUAUACGAGUAAUCCAUGGGUAUUUAAUUAAUUAUUUUUAUCCAAUGGGACCAAAACUACAAAAGGGGUUAAACAUAAGGCGGCUCUAUUGUUAUUGUUUUUAUUAGGGGAUAAAAAUCGCAACAUUUGGAACUUAGAGUGCCAAAACUGUAAUUAAACCUAAACUUUAUAGACAUAAUAUAUUUGAUAAUAACUUUUAAUCGGUCAACCCAAAAAAAAACUUCUAAUUAGUCGGUAUAAUUUUAUCUCUAUACUGAAUAUACUUUAUUCAUUAUUCUCGCCAUAUACUAUUUAAUUAUUAAUCUAUGACAAUAACCACGUACAAAGACUUUAUCUAACAAAGGAAAUCAAUCUUAGAAGAUUCAAUCAUGUGGACAAUACAACAUCCUUAUUGUAUUUGUUACAAAAUGCUUAUGACCGUAUUAUACACAAGAUAUAUAAAACAAAGCAUUAGUAACUUGGACCACUUAUUGGAUAUUUCUUUCUCCACAAUCCAUAUUAUUAUUAAUUACUUUGAUUUUUAUCAAACCAAUCUGAUAACACCACCCUCCCUUUUGCUUAAAAUAUAGUGGUAUUUCAGAUGAGGUGACACGUACACACGGACACCAUGGUUUAAUUUCUUUUGUUUCUUUGUCUACGUUUUCCUUUUUUUUAAUAAUAUUGUUUGCUCUGUGCCUAUAAUUUCAGGUAUGGAUCCUCCCUUACUUAAUUUGAGAAAAAAAUGUUAUUUUUGUGUGACUAAUUUUGAGAAAAAUAACGAAGGCAAAGGGGUGGUCCAGAUUCUCCAAUUUGUUUUGUAUCUGUACAUAUGAAUGUAAUUUAUUUUGUUGAAAUUUGGAAAAUUUCGAAUUUCUUAAAUUUAGAUAGUGUAUAUAGAACCCUAUAAUUUUAAAUUUAAGUCUUAAUCAACAUAUAUCCAAAUAAAAUGUCCAACUCAAUUGUAAUUAAUGUAUAUAUAUUUUUUUAAUAUUCUAUGUUGAAAUAUUUUGAGAAUUAACAUAACAUUAGAAAUAUUGAACCGAAAGACUUAAAAAUUGUAAGCGGAAUAGAACACAUUCACAUUUAUUGUAUAUGUACAAAGUCAAUUUAAUUAUUUUCUCUCUAUCUUCAAAAAAAAAUAGACAAUUAGGUUAUGAAAUAACAAAAAAAGACAACCAUGCCCCUUACAAUAAUAUAUACUUUAUUUGAUAAAAAUAACGGAUAACUAGCAAAUCAUGUUGUAAAAUUUAUUAUUUAGAUUAAAGAAAUGCAUUUUUAAUUUUCAUUUACAAUUUUAAGGGUAAAUAUUGCUUUACCCGGUAUAAUAUAGGUCAUUUUUGGGUUUUCCCUUUGCUAUGUUUUUUUUUUUUUUGUUUUCGUCCUUGUAAUUUUUGUUUUUUAGAAUAUCCCUCUAAUAGGCCAUUUUCAUAAAUUUUUUGUCAUUGUGCUUUAACCCAUUUCUUUCGAUGAAACGGUUGUAACAUCUCACAAACAAGCUUAUCUUUUCUUCAUUGAUAGAACCUUCAUCGGAUUCAUCUUCAUUUUGAAUAGAAGAGGUGGGCAUGGACGAAGUGGUGUUUAACGUAAUUGACUUCCUUUCCUUCUUCUUUGAAUCAUCCUCACUAGAUUUCAACUGGAUAAUUUCAUGCUCAUGUUCCUUUAGUUUACCAAAGAGUGUGAUCAUACUAAGAACAUUGAGAUUUUGUGAUUCCUUGAUAGCGGUAACCUUGGGCUGCCAUUCCCUUGUCAUACAUCUCAAAAUUUUAUUACUGCAAUCUUGGUUUGAAAUGUCAUUACCAAGGUUUUGCAAUUUCUGUACAAUAUGAGUAAAUCUCAUUUGCAUGGAAGAGAUGGAUUCACCAUCCUCCAUGCGAAAAAUUUCAUAUUGUUGUACAAGGGUAUUAAGUUUUGAUUAUUUAGCUUCAUUGGUUCCUUCAUGAAGGGUUUCCAACGCAUCCCACAUAGCCUUAGCGGUCUUUUGGAUUGGAGCUUCAUGAAGGGGACGUAUAAUAGAACACCUAUUAUACAACUCCUUAUGGAUCAACUCUUCUGGUAGUUAGCCAUUAAAGAAGAGACCAACCUCGAUGAUACCACUUGCUGAUCGAUAUGGCCAAUAAGGUUGCACGCUAGAGGGGGGUGAAUAGCGGUUAGAUAAAGUUUUUCGGAGUUUUAACAAAAAAGAUUUGAAUUGAUUUGACUAUUGGAAGCAAGCUUGAACAAUCACAACAAUUUGCAAAAAGAUAAAGCUAUGUGCUAAUAAGAUUCAAUAUAGAAUUGAGAGAUUCACAAAACAAAUCUUAUUACAAUUAAAAGUUAAUGGUUCUUGAACAAUUGGCAAAACUAGACAAUUUCAAAUACAUACCUAUAAGAAAAUAUAACAAGCUAUCAAUUGAUGAGUCUUUUAUUAUCUAUUUUAAUAUGUUAUUUAGUUUCGUUUUAAUUAGAUUUAAGUUUAUUUUAUAUUUAUAUUAUUUCCUUUUUGAACUAUUUUACUUUAAUUCCAUAUUGUUAUAUUUUAGGAACGAAUAUUUGAUGGAUUGAGUCUUGGAGCAAAAGAAAGGGAUUUGGAGUUGAUUCGGUACGAAAAUACGAAGAUUUGGAGACAAAAUAUAUCUCCCCAAAGUCAGAAGCUUGGCACAGCCCGUGCUAGGCUUGGCACGGCCGUGCCACACUCCAUAACUACUUUUGCUGCUUUUGCUUAGAUUUUAAGCUACUCUGUUUUAGUUUACUUGUGGAACAUUCUAGUGAUUGCUUAGAUUUUAAGUCGAAUGUAAACUUUAAAUAGAGUAGCCAUCCAUCACAAAUAUUCAUCUUUUCUUGGAAUGCAAUAUGUGACAAUUGUCUUUCUAAUAAAAGUUCAUUUUACUUUCUUGUUAUUUACUUUUAUGCUUUCUCUCUUCUUCUCCUUGUCUACGAUGAACAUUAGUGAGUAGACUUCUCUUGUCUUGGGAUUGUUGGAUAAGUCUAAUGACAUAAUCCUAAUCAAACCAAGCUUUAAACCUUAAUCUUAUGUAACCCUAAUUCCUUAUCUAAAUUCACCGCUUUAACAUGGAUCAACCAUUAUCAAACUGUGGAAACGAAAGUGGAGGGUUUGAUAAUUGUUUAUCCAUCAUCUCAAAUAUCAAUUCAUAAAACGAAAGUGGAGCUUUGAUAUUCGAACAAGUGAAUUUAGACAAAGAUUGUAAAGGCAGCGAAAUAGUCUUUACAAUCUUUGAGAGAUAUAGUUUCGAUCUUCAAGGGAACUAAUAAUGAUCAAGUCAGCGAAAUAGGCUUGGUUGUUAGAGGAACCAAAAUCUAAUAGUAAUCAAGUCAGCGAAAUAGGCUUGGUUGCUAGAGGAACAAAAGAGAAACUGUCUUGAGAAAUUAGGUCUAACAUAAGGUUAUAAGUUUAAUAGUUUGGUUUGUGAAGGACUUGUCAUUAGGAUGAACCAAUAAUUCCAAGGCUUUUAUCUUUUCUUUUAUUUUCUUUUAAUUAAAAACCCAAACUUUUCUAUCUUAUAAACCUUUAGUCUAAUCAUUAUCUAAAGUUAAUUGAAUUCAUAACUCCCUGUCGGAACGAUACUCUUUUCAUACUACUUCGGUAAGACCGUGCACUUGCAGUUUUAUCUCAUCAUCAAUCAAAAACACAAUGCAUAUGCAGUUGAAGAAUUGAAUAGUAAUUGAAACCAAUUGAUCCAAGCUAAGUACUAAAACCUAAUUCAAAGAAUUAUAUUAAUUUUUAUCAAAAACAACUUAGAUCAAUACAAGUUUGUCCCCUAACAAUUUAUCAAUUAACAUAUGCAACAAUUAAAAGUAAGGUGGGUAAGGAAGAGAGAUAACACCCAUAUUUUUAUAGUAGUUCGUUUUUCGUACUCGCUAGAGCUACGUCUACUCUUCUUUGUUAAAACUCCUCCCACAAGGUCAUCCACUAAUAGUAAAAAUGUUGAAUACAAAUGUGAUUACAAGAGUUCGUUGAAACUAAAAUAGUUCUUCAACGCCUAUGUAAACACUCUUCCAAACUUCAAAUAACCUUUGAAUUUGGUGUUCCUUGAAUCUUCGAAUCCUUAUUUACCUGUGCACCCCUUCGAACUCUUCACUCAAGUCUUCAAUACUACGUCCGGUAAACAAAUCCCCUUCGAUGGCAAGAACAAUUAGAAAGAACCCCUAAACCCUUUGGAGGUGGAAUAAGAUUAUUCAUUUCACUUUGGAACCUUGAUUAAGACCAACCAAUUUCCUUGAGAGAACCAUCUUACAAUCCAUAUAAGCACCCUAGGAAAUCAAUGUGACUCAAUGUACAAAGUGAUUAUAAGAAAAAGUGUUUAAUCUUGAAGAAUUUAUGAACAUUGAGUUUUUGAGUCCUAAAGAGAAUAGAUGUAAAUGACUCAAUAAUUUGGGAGUUAUGAGAAAGUGAGUAUAUAUAGUAAAUGAGUGUAUGUGCAAAUUUUCGUCCAAAAAUAACAAUUUGAAUCGAUUCACUAAGAGCAUGAAUCGAUUCAGAUAUUAGAAAUACAAGCUAGAAGAAUAAUGAAGAUUGAUGUGAUUCAGGCAAAAGCUGAAUCGAUUCAAAUACCCCAUGAUGAAGAUUUAUACGAUUCAGAUUAAAAUGAAUCGAUUCAAUGCAACUCAUAGAGUUUUAUGAUACGAUUCAGAUUUGAAUGACUCGAUUCAGGAGUGAACCGAUUCAGGAUAUAUUGAGUCGAUUCCCGCAAAGUCAGAGAGUUUGCGUGAUACGAUUUAGAUAGCUGUGAAUCGAUUCAUCUGUGCAGAAACAGAAUUUUGAAAGCAAAUGAAGGAAAUUUUGACACACGGGUAAAAAGAACAUUAUGCCACAGAUCACUAAGGUGCUUUAACAAGUUAUAAGUCUAGUUUACAAAGACAGAAACAAUAUGCUAGGAAAGACAAACUUGCAAUUAAAACAUCAUCAAAAUGACGGUUGGAAAAACAAGCUUCAAAUUUCACCAGCCUCAUUUAAUAUGGUCAACAUUAGUUGACUUUUUAUCUUUGCAGGAAUCGAAGUCUUUUUCUUGAACUUGAGGAGUUUUGACGAGAUGUUGGACUUAGCAUGAAAGGGGUCUAAACGCCCUUAGGUUCGACUAGACACGAGUCAGCGAUGCAAAGCUAUCGAAGUCAAGCAACUUCCGUUGAGGCGGGAAGAUUUGAAUUUCAAAGAGAAGCGGUUUCCUCAAAGGAGAACGUGGGAUAAAAACAGUUGUCUCAAUGGAAGAAGUGAUGAUUGUGGGAUUAUGCUUUUGCCGGUUAUUUUCCUAUGUAUAAAUAGUAGUUUUCCAUAGGGAAAAUGGAUCGCAAAUCACCUAUACAGAAUUCUAAAACACUCGAAGCAUUGGUGUGAGAGAAAAGAGUCACAAAGAAUAUAUUUAAAGGAUCUGCUGGACCACCUUUAUAUUUAAUGCAUUGUAUUUUAAUUUUCCUUUGAGUUUAUGCAAUUUAAACUUAAUGUCUUUACCUUGCUUUAAAAACCCUUUUUUCUUUCGAAAGACGUCACACUGUCUCGUCUUGUUCGUAAAGAAACCUAUGAACUCGACGGACACUUCAAAAACAAAUGCACAACAUGUCCUGGGAUUUUUGGUUUGAUCCUACUUGUAAUAACCAAAACAACCCUCGUUGUUUACCAAAAACACCGUAAACAAUAUCAAUCGAUAAAAUUAAUAAUCGACGUUCUCAUAAAAAAACAAUUGAUAGUAAUUUAUUUAUUUUUGGUACAAUAAACCAAACCCCGUAAUUUCAAAUUAUUUAGCACAUAAUUAAUAUAAUUUAAAGUUAUAUACAAGAUAUUAAUUAUUUUGACGAUAGUAAAUUAUCAAAUGAUUUUAUAUCAAUAAUAUUUUUUAGAGUUAAUAAGGUUUUUUUUUUGGUAGAUAGACAAAUUGGCAAAGCCAUUAUAAACUCACACACACAAGUGAAGGUACCGGGGUUCGAACCCCGGUCAUGGCAUCCGGCCUAACAAUUUCGGCAUUUUGCCAGUUGAGCUAGGACUUCUGGAUGAGUUAAUAAGGUUUUACCCCUUGUAAUAUAAGUCAUUUUCGAUUUUACACUCUGUAAAUGUUUUUUUUUAUUUACCCUGCUAAUAGGCCAUUCAAAAAUGAAAAUUUCUGAAAAAUAAAAAUAAAAAUUGGUUUUAGAAUGACCAAUUAGGGGGUAAAUGAAAAAUAUUACAGCGGGAUAAAUAAAAAAAAUUACCGGAUGUAAAACUGGAAAUAACCUAUAUUAGAGGGGGUAAAACCCUAUUAACCGUAACUUUUACAAAAAAUUAAUAAUAAAUUUUAUAGACAUAAUAUAUUUGAUAAUUACUAAUAGUUAGCAACCCCUAGAGAAAAAAAAUACUUGUAAUUAGCCAGAAGAGUUUUAUCGCUAUAGUAUAUAAACACGGAAAGCCACCAUUGAAUAAGGAUCAGGAGAGAGGGCACAAUACAUGGACAAGAGGCGAUUUAAUUCCUUUAGAAAAAAUCUUUGUAUGUGGUUAUUGUUAUAAAGGGAUGGAUUCAUCUCCGGUCCAUGUAUAUUGCUCUCUCUCUCAUGUUCCUUAUCCAAUGGUGGCUAUGAGAUCAUAAAGAAAACAUUUUAUAAUAUUACUCUAGGUGAGAGAGAGAGAGAGUCAACAAGAGAGGAUCCAGAUCCUUUUCUAAAGGAGAAUCAACCAUCUAUCGCUAACAACAAAUUAAAACCCUUCGGGUACAAAAAUAACGACUAAAGUAAAAAUAUAAAUGAAACAUUGAACUGUUUUAUGAAAUUAUAAUAAACUUCAAAGGGUAAAAUUGGUUUUUAGAUAAUCAUAAGGGAUUACCAAGCAGAGUUAUAAGUUAUAAGCUUGUGAUGAAACGACGGUUACCACUUAUAGAACUAACAUAAAAAAAUUAAUAGUGAGGGAUGUCUAAUGAAGAUUGGUAGCUAGUAGUGUUAUGUUGUUCAUGAAGUUACAGUUAUAUAUAAAUAUUGUAAGUGGGUGUUGUUUAUUGAAGAUAGGGAGAUCAAAGGGGAAAUGCUGGAAAAUGAUGAUGGAAAAAUAUAAAUCGAUAUUAUCUUUUAUAAUAGUCCUUAUGAACAUCAAAAUUAAGUUUGGUAUUUUUCAUUAUUCAUGUCGGCGAUUUUUACUAGUUUUGAUUUAAGUAAACGUUUUGAUUGACUUCAAUGACUAAAGUAACUAAGAGAAUAAAGAGUGAAGGAUUUAAUUGGCGUUUUAUUCAAGUCGUGGACCAAAAUUAAAUCAUGUUACACUUCUAAGGAGAAAAAUGGUUGUUUUUCCAAUAAUGUUUUCCAAUAUUAAAUUAAAGUUUAUUUAUGCCUUAGGGAUGUUACCAACCAAUUUGUUGGGUUGGAGUUACCUUUGGUGCUUAAGAACAUUUAGACCAAUAAAAAUAUCUUAGAGUACCUUUUAAAGUGGCAAGUACAUAUAGAGUCAUUGUCAAUUGAUGUUAGUACUAAUCAUGGACUAUUUAUUUGCAAACUUGUUUGUUUUUUAGUAGAUUUUUUUUUAAACAGCAAAUUUUAUUUAUAUGCUAACCCAACACAAGAAGUGAAGAGGCUAGAGGAAAGACACAAGAUAACAGAUACAUAAAGACAGACAACUAAACCAAAGGCCAAAAAGCCACAACACAAAACCACCCAAACAACCCUUAAUACAAUAGAAUCACAGCAGAAAAACCUUAACCAAAUCAAGCAAAUUAAAAACAAUUACUUAGUUGAUAUUUGUAUGCCUUGUCGCGUUGAUGUUUCAGAAAUGUCUAGGUGGAGGGGAAUGGUGGUGGGGGGGAAGGGGGUGAAUGUUUAUAAGGUCGAAAUUUGACUACAGGAGGACGGUAAGGGGGUAAAUGUCCUGGGAACUGGUUGGAUGGAGGUUUGAAUAUUGGAGUGAUAUGAAAGGCAGCAUCAGCAAAAUGUUGAGGACCAAACAUAAGAGCAGCAAGGAAUACCACUAGCAAGGAUAAGAAAAAGGAUUUAGCCAUUUUAAGAAGUGAUAUUAUUAUUAGUGUUGGUGCAUAAUACAUAUGGAGUUAACUGGUUUUAUACUAAUUAGAGACUCAAAGUGAGUUUAUGGUCAAUCAAAGUCAUUUACUAAAUGUCAAAAUUGUGUAUGAAUUGAAUUAUUCAACAAUGUUACAAGGUCCAUGUAUUUGCUACUACUUGAUGAUCCUUUCAUUUUCCACACAACAAGACCAUUUAGUAUUAUUGGCUUUAUCUCUCCGCUUGUUUGCACACCAUAUGGUUGCGCUCCUUAAUUCUGAAAUAUAGAAUGAUUUUAAACUCAUUUUAGAUUCUCCAAAAAUUAAAAUCUCAUUCCUACGACAACAGAAAAUGGAAGAAACACAAGAUUGUUGGUGUAUUGGUAGCUUACAGUCUGUUGGAAAAAUUCAAUAAGCUAGUUUAUAGUUUCUUUUAAAAAGUAUAUGAGUUUAUAGUUUAUUUUAUUAAUUCCUUUUUCACAAUUGCUUACCUGUAAGAUUAAAAAGUAUAUGUUUCACAAUUGCUUUUUCAUCACAGACUUAUAGUUAUUUUAUUAAUUUAUAGCUUAUUUUUUAGAAGUUAUUUCAAAUAGUGUAUGAGCUUAUAAUUUAUUAUUUUUAUUUCACGCUUACCUUUCAUCAAAUGAUGGAACCGCUUUCCGGACCCUGCGUAUACGUGAGCUUCAGUGCACCGGGUUGUCCUUUAUUUCAUGCUUACCUUUAUUAUUUUGUCUCAAAUUUAUUUUUAUCCUUUAUAAUUUGUAAUAAAGAAAAUGCUAAAAUGUUCUAAAAAAUUGAUAAUUAAGUCAUAAAAUAUUUACAUUCUAAAAAUAUUCAUUCCAACUUUGUUUAAAGAUGCAUCUUCAUCAUCAUAUUCUUGUAAAAAAAUCAAACAGUAAAUUUCAAACGGAAAUUCUUAAAAUUCUUCAAAAAUGCUUUUAUUUGUACAAUUCUAAAGAAUUUAACCACUCCUUAAAAAAAAAAUUAACCAUGUGAUGAUCAGUACAUAUCCUUUAAUUUUACACACCAUAAAAUCAUUUAGUAUUAUUGGUACUAUAACAAGGUAAUGAGUGGAAGUUAUUUGCUACUAAUAUUCUUGAAUUAAGAUUUAGAAAAACCGUACUCCAAGAGCAUGAUAAAUUUUGCAAAUCUAUUCAAAAAAGAGUAUUGACGAGUUUUACAUUUACACGCUCCUUGAACAUUCAUCAAUAUAUCAUCAACAAAACCAAUAUGUAAAUACUACUCCGUCCCUAAAUAUAUAGGAGUCUUUUGUAAAAAUUACGGAGAUUAAGAAAGUUAGUUUUAGUAUUAAAUUUGAAUAUAAUUACUAUUGUUUUUACGAUUUUAUCCUUAAGAGAGAGUUAAUUUAUGUUUUCAACAUAAUAUUUAUUUUUGAUUGAAGAAAAAGAUGCAAAAUAAAUAAAGGUAUGUUACUAAAUAAAUAAUUAAUGUACUAGGGACGGAGGUAGUAUUAGAUAAGGAACAUGAAUAUUUGGGAGGAAAAAUUCUUUGCAUAAGAGGAUCGUCUUAAACAACAAACUGAAAUUAAAAAUACUUGCAAUUGCGGAAGUCUUAAACAACAAACUGAAAUCAUAUCACGAAUAUUAUUAAGUUAUGGACCAAUUUGUAUGCAACAGUUAACCACCAACUACUGCAAGAAAAUAUCAUAUUAGCUACCAAAAUCUAGCUACGGUCUAUUGCUCUAGUUAAUUUGUCUUUAAUUAGCUUUGCUCUUACUACAAGUGAAGUUUGCUAGCUGAUGCUUACACUUGUUCGUUUUUUUUUUUUUUUUGAUUGUACCCAAAUAAAACUAUUUAGCAUCACUGCAAAUGCAUUUUUUUUCAAUUCUUUUGUUUAUGCAAUUUAGAUUCACUCUUGUGGAAUCUAUAAUGUGGACUCUAUAAUAUAUAUUGUUGAUGUUAAUAUUUUUAAAAUUUUAUUUUCAAAUGAGCGUUCAAAUAUACUGAUGCUAAAAUUUUGUAAAUUUUAAUUCUACAAAAAGCAUGCAUGAAUACUUAUGCAAAAAAAAUUACUCAUUUUUUUCUUUAUUUAUUUUGACAAAAUUUCAUUUUCCCCCAUUUAUCUUCUUUCCCACAAUUUUUUUAACACUUCCCGAAAUCUUUUUCCCACUAAUAUUUUAUUUUCCUUUUUCUUUUUACAACAAUUCAUUUCCUCAUCGAACAAAAAGGGAAAACUCAAGAUGUGAAAAAUCAAUAUGAGAAAGCCAUUUUCUCAAUGUGAGUUUAUGGUCAAUAUAAGUCAUUUACUAAAUUCAACAAUGCUACACUCAUAGGUACCAUGUAGUAUUUGCUAGUUAUUGAUGAUCAGUAGCUAUCCUUUCAUUUUCCACACAACAAGACCAUUUAGUAUUAUUGGCUUUAUCUCUCCACUUGUUUGUGCACCAUGGUUGCACUCAUUAAUUCUGAAUUAUUAUAGAAUGAUUUUAAACUCAUUUUAGGUCCUCCAAAAAUUAAAAUACUCAUUCCUACGACAACACAAAAUGCAAGAAACACAAGAUUGUUGGUGUAUUAUAAGCCUGUAAGAUUAUACCGUAUAUGUUUCACAAUUGCUUUUUCAUCACAAGUUUAUAGUUUAUUUUAUUUGAAGUUAUUACAAAUAGUGUAUGAGCUUAUAAUUUUUUUUUUUUAUUUCAUGCUUACCUUUAUUAUUUUGUUUCAAAUUUAUUUUUAUCCUUUAUAAUUUGAAAUAAAGAAAAUACUAAAAUGUUCUAAAAAAUUGAUGAUUAAGUCAUAAAAUAUUUACAUUCUAAAAAUAUUAAUUCCAACUUUGUUUAAAGAUGCAUCUUCAUCAUCAUAUUCUUGUAAAAAAAAUCAAACAGUAAAUUUUAAAUUGAAAUUCUUAAAAUUCUUCAAAAAUGCCUUUAAUUUUCCACACCACAAAACCAUUUAGUAUUAUUGGUGCUAUGAAAAGGUAAUGAGUGGAAGUUAUUUGCUACUAAUAUUCUUGAAUAGAUUUAGCAAAACCGUACUCCAAGAGCAUGAUAAAUUUUGCAGACGGUGAAAAUUUAUUGUGACAAUAAACUAUUUAAAAAAGAGUAUUGACGAGUUUAACAUUUACACUGUAUAAACCCAAAUAUGCAAAAACCCAUAUACUUCUUGAACAUAUCAAGAAAACCAAGAUGUAAAUAUUAGAUAAGGAACAUAAAUACGUCGGAUGAAAAUUUCUUUGCAUAAGUGGAUCGUAAUAAAAAUUAACAAUAAGUUCUUAAAUACAUGCUUCUGAAAGUCUGAAAUACAAUAAAUACAAUAUGCUCUUAAAUUAACAAUAUCAUAGAAAGUCUGAAACUAAAAAUUGCGGAAGUCUUAAACAACAAACUGAAAUCAUAUCAGAAAUAUUAAGUUAUGGAACCAAUUUGUAUGUAAUAGUGAACCACCAACCAUUACAAGAAAAUAUCAUAUUAGCUACCAAAAUCUAGCUACGGUCUAUUGCUCUAGUUAAUUUGUCUUUAAUUAACUUUGCUCUUACUGCAAGUGCAAUUUGACUGGCUGAUGCUUACACUUGUUCGUUAUUGUAUAAAAAAAUUAAAACAAAUUGUAAUGUCUUCUGAUGCCUUUUGGAUCUUCAUUGAUGGUAUUUCCUAGUUCUUCACAAGUCUUUAAGAUGUUCUGCUUUGCGUAUUUGCAUAAUUUCUUCUUGAAUUAUAUAAAAACUAGAAUUACAUGAGUCAAACAGAAAACAUUACAAAUAUCCCAAAAACCAUAGGAAAUUGUUCUAAUACUCCAUUCUGGAUUAAAACUAAUUGAAAAUGACUGGAAAAACAUGCCAAGAAUAACGUAAGAUGAUAUGUUAUCACAACCUCAAACUUAAACUGUUGUUUGUCGGCAAGUAACGAACGAAAAUAAAUUUUAAUUUUGCAUAUUUUUCAAGAAAAACAUAUCUUUUCAAAGAGGUUGCUCAGAUCGUCUUCUCGUCUCAUUUACAGACUUGACUAACUUACACCUUCCAUGAAAGCGCGACAGAAUUAGAGAAUAUAGCCCAUACUCUCAACCACACUCUUAUCCAUGAUACAUGCAUGUAUCACACAAACUCGGUAGGGUUGGUCACGAUAUUUGUCCACUCUAGUCGUCACAUGAAUGUAUCUUGAUGUAAAUUUGAGAGAACUCUAAACAGACAGUCAAGAUCAUACUAUAUACAAAGUAUUAGUUCUUUCAAGGUUAUAACGUAUCUUAGGUUAAGGUGAGAUAUAUUAGAAAAGUAGGCUAACAAAACAACUUGAAGUUAGAUUAUCAACCUGAGGUUUCCUACUAAACAUUGAAGUACUACUAACAUUCCUUCCUUAAACCAAACAAGAUGGGUAUUAAAUAGAACUAUUUAUCUUUUCCUACAUUUGUUUUAAAAGACCAAAAUAUUUGAUGUUUUUAGCUCUUGAUUUUUUCUUUUUUCUAUUUUUUUAUGUAGACCCAUGGUUAUCAACAUUUUUUCAUUUUUUUUCUUUGUGAUAUAAAUAAGUUCUCUGGUAGCCCUUCCUCAAAAAGAAAUCCAAGUUUAGUUUCAAAUCAUACCAAAUUAUUAAAAAUAUUAUAUCUAACUCCAAGAGAAAUCAAAUAGAUGACUUUAAGGAUCAAAACACCCACAACGAGCCGGUAAUAACACAACGCCUAAAACUGAAAAAAAACAAUGCGUCGAAACUCGUUAAGACAACCGUUAGUCUAAUUGGCUAUAUAAGCCUUAAGGUACUAUUAGACAUAACAAUUCUUUCUUAAUAAAUAUUAUUUUCAUUUCACUUUUUCUAUAUUUUGUUUUCAUUUAUGAGUUCCAUCAAGAAUUGUGAUAAUGUGUCACUUGAAAAAAAGAUAGACUAAUGUCACUUAUGAGUUCUAUCAUGAAUUGUAAUAAUGUGUCACUUUUAUAUACAUAUGUUUCAGUAUGGACGGACUGAAGUCAAACACACGUUAGUACUUAGCCAAAAAGCUCGACAAAGUUUCUGGUAACAUAUUUAAUUAAAAUUCAAUAUAAAUAAAAGUGUGAAAAAGCUACUCAACCGUACAAGUUGCCUUUGCAUCCCAGUGCAACUGACACAAAUGUGGUAGCCUCGGUUAGGCUACUAAUACAAUGUGUUAGUUUACAUCAAAAUAUAUAUUCUUUUUAUCAGCAAAUAAAAUUAACAACAGUCCGAGCGCAAUAACCCGAAAGACUUACAGGUACGAGUGAGAAGGAAAAGCAUGCAGAAAACGACUUCUAUUAGUUCGACAGUUUCGUCAAAGGGUGCAGUGAAUGAAUUUGUAUGAGAUGAUGGGUUAGGGUUCUAUUGAGAAGAAUUUCUGGGUGGAGAUGAGAGGGUUCAGUGAGAAGUUGAGAUGAUGGCAUAUGGUUUGAAGGGUUCGGAGUAGAGAAGUUAAAAUUUGAAGGAUCUGUGGGUAGAUGUUUGAGAGGUUUAGGUUCGAUGAAGUGAUUUUGGUAGAAGUUGUGUUUUGGGUGCAGAAAAGAGGAGAGGGAAUGAACAAUUACUUCAGCGCCAGACGCAAAAUUUUGCGGUUUAUUUUUUUUUUUUUUAUUUAACUUUUUUUUUUUUUAAUUUGGUAUGCCGUAUGUGCAAAGAUAGCCCUUCCCCAUUAAACGCUAACAAAUCAUUUACACCAAUAUUAGCGUUCACUAGAAAACGCUAUCACACUCUUAUCAUCACACACCUUUUUUUUUUAUAAUUUUUUUUAAUACCAUAUAAUAGCACUUUCUAUAAAAGGGCUAAUAUAGGUGUCACGUUAUAAUAGCAUGCGUAACGGAAGUGCUAUUAUUAAUAUUAGAGUCAAUCUUUUCAUAGCAUUUUCUCUAAAAGUGCUAUUAAAUUAGCGUUUCCGUUAUAAUAGUCCUUAUGAACAUCAAAUUAAGUUUGGUAUUUUUCAUUAUUCAUGUCGGCGAUUUUUACUAGUUUUGAUUUAAGUAAACGUUUUGAUUGACUUUAAUGACUAAAGUAACUAAGAGAAUAAAGAGUGAAGGAUUUAAUUGGCGUUUUAUUCAAGUCGUGGACCAAAAUUAAAUCUUGUUACACUUUUAAGGAGAAAAAUGGUUGUUUUUCCAAUAAUGUUUUCCAAUAUUAAAUUACAGUUGUUUUAUGCCUUAGGGAUGUUACACUUAAUUGAUAACUUAAAUAAGGUUUUUGGAGGUAAAUAAGAAAGAUGCAAAACCUCCAGCCAAGCCAAAACAACCCCGUUUCGAUUUGUGAACUUGACCAUAAUAUAUUAUACACAAGAUAUAUAAAAACAAAGCAUUGGUAACUAGUAGAUUUUUUUUUUUUAACAGCAAAGUUUAUUUAUAUGCUAACCCAACACAAGAAGUGAAGAGGCUAGAGGAAAGACGCAAGAUAAGAGAUACAUAAAGACAGACAACUAAACCAAGGCCAAAAAGGCACAACACAAACCACCUAAACAACCCUUAAUACAAUAGAAUCACAGCAGAAAAACCUUAACCAAAUCAAGCAAAAACAAUUGCUUAGUUGAUAUUGGUAUGCCUUGUCGCAUUGAUGUUUCAGAAAUGUCUAGGUGGAGGGGAAUGUUGUCUUAUAUGUGGUAAUACAGGUGGUAAUCCAUGUGGUAAACCCCUUACGAAUGGAGUCAAAUUGGUAAAUUUUUGUUCUGGGAUAGUAAUUGGAGGGAGAUUGCAAAAUGUUGAGGAGAAAACAUAAGAGCAGCAAGGAAUAACACUAAUAAGGAUAAGAAAAAGGAUUUAGCCAUUUUAAGAAGUGAUAUUAUUAUUGUGUUGGUGCAUAAUACAUAUGGAAUUAACUGGUUUUAUACUAAUUAGAGACUCAAUGUGAGUUUAUGGUCAAUCUAAGUUAUUUACUAAAUGUCAAAAUUAUGUAUGAAUUGAAUUAUUCAACAAUGUUACAACUUCCAUGUAUUUGCUACUAGUUGAUGAUCAUUAACUAUCCUUAAUUUCAUUUUCCAUACAGCAAGACCAUUUAGUAUUAUUGGCUCUAUCUUUCCACUAAUAG
rnacentral:lncRNA from 1 species